CCUACGGGAGGCAGCAGUGAGGAAUAUUGGUCAAUGGGCGAGAGCCUGAACCAGCCAAGUCGCGUGAAGGAUGACGGCCCUACGGGUUGUAAACUUCUUUUGUCAGGGAGCAAUUGGGUCCACGCGUGGGCUUAGCGAGAGUACCUGAAGAAAAAGCAUCGGCUAACCCCGUGCCAGCAGCCGCGGUAAUACGGAGGAUGGGAGCGUUAUCCGGAUUUAUGGGGUUUAAAGGGUGCGUAGGCGGAAUAUCAAGUCAGCGGUAAAAAUUCGGGGCUAAACCCCGUCGUGCCGUUGAAACUGAUGUUCUUGAGUGGGCGAGAAGUAUGCGGAAUGCGUGGUGUAGCGGUGAAAUGCAUAGAUAUCACGCAGAACUCCGAUUGCGAAGGCAGCAUACCGGCGCCCAACUGACGCUGAAGCACGAAAGCGUGGGUAUCGAACAGGAUUAGAUACCCUUGUAGUC
rnacentral:rRNA from 1 species